rnacentral:rRNA from 1 species
ACCUGACCGUCCUGGCCCGCUUUGGUAUCCUUACCAAGAGCCAGGCCUAUCCUUCACUGGAUUGGGCCUUGUGCGAUUGGUAUCAUUUACUUUGAAAAAAUUAGAGUGUUUAAAGCAGGCUUAUGCUUCUGAAUACAUUAGCAUGGAAUAAUAAUAUAGGACUUCGGUUCUAUUUUGUUGGUUUCUAGGACUGAAGUA